CCCUUAGAUGUCCGGGGCCGCACGCGCGCUACACUGAAGGAAUCAGCGUGGCUUUCUCCCUGACCCGAAAGGGUUGGGAAACCCGUUGAAUCUCCUUCGUGAUAGGGAUUGGGGCUUGAAAUUGUUCCCCAUGAACGAGGAAUUCCCAGUAAGCGCGAGUCAUAAGCUCGCGUUGAUUACGUCCCUGCCCUUUGUACACACCGCCCGUCGCUACUACCGAUUGAACGGUUUAGUGAGGGCCUCGGAUUGGUCUCGGCCCUCUCUUUACCGGGCGGCGCCGUUGGUCGAGAAGACGCUCGAACUUGAUCGUUUAGAGGAAGUAAAAGUCGUAACA
rnacentral:rRNA from 1 species